UUGGCCUACGGGACGCAGCAGUGAGGAAUAUUGGUCAAUGGCCGAGAGGCUGAACCAGCCAAGUCGCGUGAGGGAUGACGGCCCUACGGGUUGUAAACCUCUUUUGUCGGGGAGCAAAGAGAGUCACGUGUGACUCAUUGAGAGUAGCCGAAGAAAAAGCAUCGGCUAACUCCGUGCCAGCAGCCGCGGUAAUACGGAGGAUGCGAGCGUUAUCCGGAUUUAUUGGGUUUAAAGGGUGCGCAGGCGGAGGUGCAAGUCAGCGGUCAAAUUGCGGGGCUCAACCCCGUACUGCCGUUGAAAAUGCA
rnacentral:rRNA from 1 species